rnacentral:rRNA from 2 species
GCCUUUCGGCGUCUUACCAUGCAGUCGAGCGAUGCAGUUUUAAGGAAGUUUUCCGACGGAAUUAAAACUGACUGAGCGGCGGACGGGUGAGUAUCGCGUGGGUAACCUGCCUCAUACAGGGGGAUAACAGUUGGAAACGACUGCUAGUACCGCAUAAGCACACAGUGCCGCAUGGUACGGUGUGAAAAACUCCGGUGGUAUGAGAUGGACCCGCGUCUGAUUAGGUAGUUGGUGAGGUAACGGCCCACCAAGCCGACGAUCAGUAGCCGACCUGAGAGGGUGACCGGCCACAUUGGGACUGAGACACGGCCCAAACUCCUACGGGAGGCAGCAGUGGGGAAUAUUGGACAAUGGGGGAAACCCUGAUCCAGCGACGCCGCGUGACUGAAGAAGUAUUUCUUUAUGUAAAGGUCUAUCGUGAGGGAAGAAAAUGACUUUACCUGACUAAGAAGCCCCGGCUAACUACGUGCCAGCAGCCGCGGUAAUACGUAGGGGGCAAGCGUUAUCCGGAUUUACUGGGUGUAAAGGGAGCGUAAACGGCAAUGCAAGUCUGGAGUGAAAGCCCGGGGCUCAACCCCGGGACUGCUUUGGAAACUGUGUUGCUAGAGUGCAGGAGAGGUAAGUGGAAUUCCUAGUGUAACGGUGAAAUGCGUAGAUAUUAGGAGGAACACCAGUGGCAAACGCGGCUUACUGGACUGUAACUGACAUUGAGGCUCGAAAGCGUGUGCGAGCAGACAGGAUUACAUACCCUGGUAGUCCACGCCGUAGACGAUGAAUACUACGUGUUGGGGAGCAAAGCUCUUCGGUGCCGCCGCUAUUCUGUAGCUAUUCCACCUGGGGAGUACGUUCGCGAGAAUGACACUCAGAUGAAUUGACGGGGACACUGCACAGGCGGUGGAGCAUGUGGUUUAAUUCGAAGCAACACUCAGAACCUUACCAAGUCUUGACAUCACACUGACCGGUCCGUAACGCGGUCAUACCUACAGGACAUUCUCACGAGUGCUGAAUGGUGGCUUCAUCUCGUGUCGCGACACGUGUGUGAAGUCCCGCAACGAGCGCAACCCU